UGAGGACACGUCGAAGCGGACAUCCCGGUCCUCCCAAAGCGCAUCCAGCACCGACAUGGUGACCGCGGCGGGGGAGGCCUAACGGCGUCUUGCCGGCUCCAAGACAACGGACCGCCUCUGGCACGACGUCUACGGCGGGCGCCGAGACCCAAACUUCCUCGAGAUAGUGUGCGCGCUUUCCCGGCCCUGUGGUGUAGUUAAGCGGAUUUGAGGCUCCAGGCAGGUUUCCGUGCCUCAGAGAAGCAGAACUGGCCUCGGCGCAGGAGCGGGUGCUUGACUUCUGAGUGACCUUCUGCACCUCCAGACUCGCCUCCUUAAGCCGUUCCUCCCCGCCCACCCCCUUCCGUUCCUCUCCAUACACUGUCGGGAAAUUUAGCCUUAGGGACUCCCCAGGCGGUUCACUGGUUAGGACUCCGCGCUUCCACUACUGGUGACCUUGGUUCCAUCCCUGGUGGGCCAACUAAGAUCCCGCAAGCCGCGUGGUGCGGUCUGAAAAAAAGAAAGAGAGAAAUGUAGACUUAAAACUCGAAAUUUCUCGUCUGGCUCUGCCUCCUCCGGCCCAGCCCACCUCAUGCCGUCCUCGCGCCUUCUGCUUGCUCUCCAACCAGGCAGGGCUCAGCGCCUUUGGAGGGCGCCCCCUUUCUCUGUCUGGAACUCUCCGUUCUCCAGAUCUCUACCUGGCCCGUCCUUUGUCACUUCAGCCUCAGCUCAAAAGUGAACUAAAGCGGUCCUUAACCUUUCUUCUCUCGCUCUGCUGUGAGUACCUUGAGGACAGAGUUCCCUUUGAACCCACGCGAGCACAGAGUAGGCAUUCGGCUAGAUCUCAGCUGACUGGAGCAAGAGAGACUCUCCUGCUUGCCUUGAAGAAGCCACCUGCUAUGAUACCACCUUUAGGGCCAGCGGUCUCACGUCCUAUAGGUGCAAGGAGCUGAAAUCUGCCGACAACCUGAAUGAGCUUGGAAGCAGAUCUUUCCCCAGUAAAACUUCUGAUGAGGCCUUAGCCCCAGGAAGUAUCUGGAUUGCAGCCUGGUUGUGACCCUAAGCAGAAAACCCAGGUAAGUCAUGCUUGGACUUCUGAUCUACAGAAACAGGGAGAUAAUAAAUGUCUGUAGUUUUAAGCUGCAGUCAUUUGUUAUAUGCUGCAAUAGAAAACUAAGACAGAGAUUGGUAUCAGGAGUGGUGUGCUACUCUAACAAAUAGCAGAGGCUAUUAGACCCAGCAAAAUUCAGCUGGUGGGAAGCAGGCUGAUAAAAUUACUCACCUGUUGGGAAUUCCCUUGUGGUCCAGUGGUUAGGACUUGGUGUUUUCACUGCCAGGGCCUGAGUUUGAUCCCUGGUUGGGGAACUAAAGAUCCUGCAAGCUGCAAUGUGUGGCCAAAAAAAAAAAAAAAUUACUCACCUGUAAACAUGUGCUACAUUUCAUGAAAAAGCAAGGAUGACUCAGAGGAUCUGAGCACCACGGAAGAUUAUUCCCAGAUCUUAAACCUUAAGCAGUAAACAUCCAACAUUUGCGCAGAUGGAUGUCAGAAUUGUUAUAUGGCAGUGGCUCAUUUGUACCUUCCAUUUCCCCCCUGUUGAACUGGAAUGUCUCUAACUGUUCUCCUAUGCCAGUCCCACCAUUGUAUGAUGGGAGUGUUGGGAGCAUUGAUCUCUUUAGUUUCACAGGUCACUAAGGGGAAUUGUGCUUUGAGGAACUGCACUUAGUGAAUUAUAGCCAGGAGCCUCAUUUGCUCAGAUGUAAAUGAUUUAGAUGAUGAGAUCUUGGAUUUUGAGCUGAUGCUGUAAUGUGAUGAGAGGGGAAUCUGGGGACGGAGUACACAGUUUUGUUUUUUUUUUUUUCCUUUGGGAGAGGCAUGAAUUGUUCAGGGCUAUAGGCAGAAUUCCAGGUGGCCUCUAAGAUUCCCACCCAUGGUGUACAUAUCUUAUGUAAUCCCCUCCCCUUGAUUGUGGAAGAAUCUAUGUAUAGGAUAUGAGUCUUGUGGUUAGAUUAUGUUGUAUGGCAAAGAUGAAAGAGUUUUGCAGAUGCGAUUAAUGCCCUUUGAAUUAGUCAAAAAGGAGACUAUCCUUGGUGGGCCUGAACUUAUCAGGUGAACCCUUAAAAGAGAUUUUCUUGCUGACUUUGAUGAAAUAGUGUCCAAGUUAUGAGAGAGCCACAUGUCUAGGAACUGAGGGCAGCCUUUAGGAGUUGAGAGCCAGCAAGAAAACGAUAACUCCAGUCAUCCAACCACAAGGAACCAAUUCUGCUAAGGAACCUGAAUGAGCCUGGAAGGGGACCCCAAACCUCAGAUGAGAUCACAUCCCUGCAGACACCUUGAUUCAAGGAUUUUAUAUAAAUGGUGUAAUAAGUUACUAUAGGGCUUCCCUGGUGGCGCAGUGGUUAAGAAUCCGCCUGCCAGUGCAGGGGGCACAGGUCGAGCCCUGGUCCCGGAAGAUCCCACAUGCCGCGGAGCAAAUAAGCCCGUGCACCACAACUACUGAGCCUGCGCUCUAGAGCCCGCAAGCCACAACUAUUGAAGCCUGCGUGCCUAGAGCCUGUGCUCUGCAACAGGAGAAACCACCGCAAUGAGAAGCCUGCACACCGCAAUGAAGAGUAGCCCUCGCUCACUGCAACUAGAGAAAGCCCACAUACAGCAACGAAGACCCAA